rnacentral:rRNA from 1 species
GGGACACGUGGUAUCCUGUCUGAAUAUGGGGGGACCAUCCUCCAAGGCUAAAUACUCCUGACUGACCGAUAGUGAACCAGUACCGUGAGGGAAAGGCGAAAAGAACCCCGGCGAGGGGAGUGAAAAAGAACCUGAAACCGUGUACGUACAAGCAGUGGGAGCACGCUUAGGCGUGUGACUGCGUACCUUUUGUAUAAUGGGUCAGCGACUUAUAUUCUGUAGCAAGGUUAACCGAAUAGGGGAGCCGAAGGGAAACCGAGUCUUAACUGGGCGUUAAGUUGCAGGGUAUAGACCCGAAACCCGGUGAUCUAGCCAUGGGCAGGUUGAAGGUUGGGUAACACUAACUGGAGGACCGAACCGACUAAUGUUGAAAAAUUAGCGGAUGACUUGUGGCUGGGGGUGAAAGGCCAAUCAAACCGGGAGAUAGCUGGUUCUCCCCGAAAGCUAUUUAGGUAGCGCCUCGUGAAUUCAUCUCCGGGGGUAGAGCACUGUUUCGGCAAGGGGGUCAUCCCGACUUACCAACCCGAUGCAAACUGCGAAUACCGGAGAAUGUUAUCACGGGAGACACACGGCGGGUGCUAACGUCCGUCGUGAAGAGGGAAACAACCCAGACCGCCAGCUAAGGUCCCAAAGUCAUGGUUAAGUGGGAAACGAUGUGGGAAGGCCCAGACAGCCAGGAUGUUGGCUUAGAAGCAGCCAUCAUUUAAAGAAAGCGUAAUAGCUCACUGGUCGAGUCGGCCUGCGCGGAAGAUGUAACGGGGCUAAACCAUGCACCGAAGCUGCGGCAGCGACGCUUAUGCGUUGUUGGGUAGGGGAGCGUUCUGUAAGCCUGUGAAGGUGUGCUGUGAGGUAUGCUGGAGGUAUCAGAAGUGCGAAUGCUGACAUAAGUAACGAUAAAGCGGGUGAAAAGCCCGCUCGCCGGAAGACCAAGGGUUCCUGUCCAACGUUAAUCGGGGCAGGGUGAGUCGACCCCUAAGGCGAGGCCGAAAGGCGUAGUCGAUGGGAAACAGGUUAAUAUUCCUGUACUUGGUGUUACUGCGAAGGGGGGACGGAGAAGGCUAUGUUGGCCGGGCGACGGUUGUCCCGGUUUAAGCGUGUAGGCUGGUUUUCCAGGCAAAUCCGGAAAAUCAAGGCUGAGGCGUGAUGACGAGGCACUACGGUGCUGAAGCAACAAAUGCCCUGCUUCCAGGAAAAGCCUCUAAGCAUCAGGUAACAUCAAAUCGUACCCCAAACCGACACAGGUGGUCAGGUAGAGAAUACCAAGGCGCUUGAGAGAACUCGGGUGAAGGAACUAGGCAAAAUGGUGCCGUAACUUCGGGAGAAGGCACGCUGAUAUGUAGGUGAAGCGACUUGCUCGUGGAGCUGAAAUCAGUCGAAGAUACCAGCUGGCUGCAACUGUUUAUUAAAAACACAGCACUGUGCAAACACGAAAGUGGACGUAUACGGUGUGACGCCUGCCCGGUGCCGGA